CAAGAUUAAAACUCAAAGGAAUUGACGGGGCCCCGCACAAGCAGCGGAGCAUGCGGCUUAAUUCGACGCAACGCGAAGAACCUUACCAAGGCUUGACAUAUACAGGAAUACGGCAGAGAUGUCGUAGCCGCAAGGUCUGUAUACAGGUGGUGCAUGGUUGUCGUCAGCUCGUGUCGUGAGAUGUUGGGUUAAGUCCCGCAACGAGCGCAACCCUCGUUCUGUGUUGCCAGCAUUUAGUUGGGGACUCACAGGAGACUGCCGGGGUUAACUCGGAGGAAGGUGGGGAUGACGUCAAAUCAUCAUGCCCCUUAUGUCUUGGGCUGCACGCAUGCUACAAUGGCUGGUACAAACGGCUGCAAUACCGCAAGGUGGAGCGAAUCCGAGAAAGCCAGUCUCAGUUCGGAUUGGGGUCUGCAACUCGACCCCAUGAAGUCGGAGUUGCUAGUAAUCGUAGAUCAGCAACGCUACGGUGAAUACGUUCCCGGGGCUUGUACACACCGCCCGUCACAUCACGAAAGUCGGUACCACCCAAAGUCAGUGCCCAACCGCAAGGAGGGAGCUGCCAAAGGU
rnacentral:rRNA from 1 species